rnacentral:rRNA from 1 species
AUACGUAGGGGGCGAGCGUUGUCCGGAAUGAUUGGGCGUAAAGGGCGCGUAGGCGGCGCGGUAAGUCUGGAGUGAAAGUCCUGCUUUCAAGGUGGGAAUUGCUUUGGAUACUGCCGCGCUUGAGUGCAGGAGAGGUUAUCGGAAUUCCCGGUGUAGCGGUGAAAUGCGUAGAGAUCGGGAGGAACACCAGUGGCGAAGGCGGGUAACUGGACUGCAACUGACGCUGAGGCGCGAAAGGGUGGGGAGCAAACAGGAUUAGAUACCCUGGUAGUCCACACUGUAAACGAUGAAUGCUAGGUGUAAGAGGUAUCGACCCCUUUUGUGCCGGAGUCAACACAAUAAGCAUCCCGCCUGGGGAGUACGGCCGCAAGGUUGAAACUCAAAUGAAUUGGCGGGG